rnacentral:rRNA from 1 species
AGUGAACGCUGGCGGUAGGCCUAACAUAUGCAAGUCGAACGGCAGCACAGUAAGAGCUUGCUCUUACGGGUGGCGAGUGGCGGACGGGUGAGGAAUACAUCGGAAUCUACUUUUUCGUGGGGGAUAACGUAGGGAAACUUACGCUAAUACCGCAUACGACCUACGGGUGAAAGCAGGGGAUCUUCGGACCUUGCGCGAUUGAAUGAGCCGAUGUCGGAUUAGCUAGUUGGCGGGGUAAAGGCCCACCAAGGCGACGAUCCGUAGCUGGUCUGAGAGGAUGAUCAGCCACACUGGAACUGAGACACGGUCCAGACUCCUACGGGAGGCAGCAGUGGGGAAUAUUGGACAAUGGGCGCAAGCCUGAUCCAGCCAUACCGCGUGGGUGAAGAAGGCCUUCGGGUUGUAAAGCCCUUUUGUUGGGAAAGAAAAGCAGCAGGUUAAUACCCCGCUGUUCUGACGGUACCCAAAGAAUAAGCACCGGCUAACUUCGU